UUCUUCAGAAGAUACAGCUGACGGGCCUCCAACGUGACAGUCCCCUCUAGGCAUAGGGAAAUCAUCUUCCCCAUAUAACACCGGCUCGCCGUCAGAGUCCACUUCGGCCAUACGAAGCUUUUCCAGAGGAGUAUCAGGAGCAUGCCUAGCUUCCCUUAUGCCGCGAUUGUAACCGGUUACGUACAUGCGGAAGGCUUUCCGUAGAACAGCAGCUUUCAUGUCUGCAGAGGCUUUAUAUUCAUCAAGAUGUGAUUCACAGGCCUCAGCUAUAAAUGCCUUCAACUCAGGAGAAUCCUUGUAGUCCUGAAGGUAAGCUUCACAGGCCUGCUCAAUCUUUCUUUUCAGCUCCUCCGACUCCUGAUAUUCCGCUAGACACCUCUCGCGUUCUAGCAGGACCUUGCCUUCAGCAUGUUUCACCACCUCGAGCAGGGCUGAACAUUUACGUUCCAAAGUCCUGACUUCAU
rnacentral:lncRNA from 1 species